UGAUCCAAGACAACCCCUGGUGCAGUGC
rnacentral:piRNA from 1 species